rnacentral:rRNA from 1 species
GGACUCAACGCCGGGCAGCUCACCGGAUAAGACAGCUGGAUGAUAGCCGGGCUGAAGACUCUGCUUGACUAGCUGAGAGGAGGUGCAUGGCCGUCGUCAGUUCGUACUGUGAAGCAUCCUGUUAAGUCAGGCAACGAGCGAGACCCACGCCAACAGUUGCCAGCAUGUCCUCCGGGAUGAUGGGGACACUGUUGGGACCGCCUCUGCUAAAGAGGAGGAAGGAAUGGGCAACGGUAGGUCAGCAUGCCCCGAAUUAUCCGGGCUACACGCGGGCUACAAUGGUCAGGACAAUGGGUAUCGACACCGAGAGGUGGAGGCAAUCUCCUAAACCUGUCCUUAGUUCGGAUCGAGGGCUGUAACCCGCCCUCGUGAAGCUGGAAUCCGUAGUAAUCGCGUUUCAACAUAGCGCGGUGAAUACGUCCCUGCUCCUU